rnacentral:rRNA from 1 species
GACGAACGCUGGCGGCGUGCUUAACACAUGCAAGUCGAACGGAAAGGCCCUGCUUUUGUGGGGUGCUCGAGUGGCGAACGGGUGAGUAACACGUGAGUAACCUGCCCUUGACUUUGGGAUAACUUCAGGAAACUGGGGCUAAUACCGGAUAGGAGCUCCUGCUGCAUGGUGGGGGUUGGAAAGUUUCGGCGGUUGGGGAUGGACUCGCGGCUUAUCAGCUUGUUGGUGGGGUAGUGGCUUACCAAGGCUUUGACGGGUAGCCGGCCUGAGAGGGUGACCGGCCACAUUGGGACUGAGAUACGGCCCAGACUCCUACGGGAGGCAGCAGUGGGGAAUAUUGCACAAUGGGCGGAAGCCUGAUGCAGCAACGCCGCGUGCGGGAUGACGGCCUUCGGGUUGUAAACCGCUUUCGCCUGUGACGAAGCGUGAGUGACGGUAAUGGGUAAAGAAGCACCGGCUAACUACGUGCCAGCAGCCGCGGUGAUACGUAGGGUGCGAGCGUUGUCCGGAUUUAUUGGGCGUAAAGGGCUCGUAGGUGGUUGAUCGCGUCGGAAGUGUAAUCUUGGGGCUUAACCCUGAGCGUGCUUUCGAUACGGGUUGACUUGAGGAAGGUAGGGGAGAAUGGAAUUCCUGGUGGAGCGGUGGAAUGCGCAGAUAUCAGGAGGAACACCAGUGGCGAAGGCGGUUCUCUGGGCCUUUCCUGACGCUGAGGAGCGAAAGCGUGGGGAGCGAACAGGCUUAGAUACCCUGGAAGUCCACGCUGUAAACGGUGGGUACUAGGUGUGGGGUCCAUUCCACGGGUUCCGUGCCGUAGCUAACGCUUUAAGUACCCCGCCUGGGGAGUACGGCCGCAAGGCUAAAACUCAAAGGAAUUGACGGGGCCCCGCACAAGCGGCGGAGCAUGCGGAUUAAUUCGAUGCAACGCGUAGAACCUUACCUGGGUUUGACAUGGAUCGGGAGCGCUCAGAGAUGGGUGUGCCUCUUUUGGGGUCGGUUCACAGGUGGUGCAUGGCUGUCGUCAGCUCGUGUCGUGAGAUGUUGGGUUAAGUCCCGCAACGAGCGCAACCCUUGUUCACUGUUGCCAGCACGUUAUGGUGGGGACUCAGUGGAGACCGCCGGGGUCAACUCGGAGGAAGGUGGGGAUGACGUCAAGUCAUCAUGCCCCUUAUGUCCAGGGCUUCACGCAUGCUACAAUGGCUGGUACAGAGAGUGGCGAGCCUGUGAGGGUGAGCGAAUCUCGGAAAGCCGGUCUCAGUUCGGAUUGGGGUCUGCAACUCGACCUCAUGAAGUCGGAGUCGCUAGUAAUCGCAGAUCAGCAACGCUGCGGUGAAUACGUUCCCGGGGCU